GCUCUUUGCCACAGGCCUGCAGGAAGCAUUUUCUCUCCUGUUGCUGGUCAGAGGGAAGGCCUGGUCAUUCUCUCCAUGCCUGCUGUUAUGGACUUAGGUCCCAGCCCUUCUUUUUUCUGCUUCUUCUGCUUACUCCCAGCUGCCUUUAGUUGGGGACAUGUCUGUUGAAAUGAAUGGACAACAUGAGUUUGCUGGUCACCUCUGGCACACUAAAGACCCUGUAACAGGACAAUUAAAGAGAGAGAAAGCACAAACAGGGGGAGUGGCAAGCAGAGG